rnacentral:rRNA from 1 species
CCUACGGGCGGCAGCAGUGAGGAAUAUUGGUCAAUGGGCGUAAGCCUGAACCAGCCAAGUAGCGUGAGGGAAGAAGGCUCUAUGGAUCGUAAACCUCUUUUAUAAGGGAGUAAAGUACGGGACGUGUCCUGUUUUGUAUGUACCCGAUGAAUAAGGAUCGGCUAACUCCGUGCCAGCAGCCGCGGUAAUACGGAGGAUCCGAGCGUUAUCCGGAUUUAUUGGGUUUAAAGGGUGCGUAGGCGGACUUUGAAGUCAGCGGUGAAAUUCUGUGGCUCAACCAUAGAAGUGCCGUUGAAACUGGUAUUCUUGAGUAUGUUUGAGGUAGGCGGAAUGCGUGGUGUAGCGGUGAAAUGCUUAGAUAUCACGCAGAACCCCGAUUGCGAAGGCAGCCUACCAGGCCUUAACUGACGCUGAUGCACGAAAGUGUGGGGAUCAAACAGGAUUAGAUACCCUUGUAGUC